UCAUCGCACAAUCGGCUUGUCCCCGAGGCCGCAUUUAACCUUCCUUGGACAUCUCUGAGCCACCCGUCCUCUUUUACCUUGUAAGGAGAAUGGCACCUCCCUCUCUUCCUGAAAUGCUGCUUUCAACACUGGCUCUAAAUUUAGAGCUAAAAAGAAGUUUGCAGGUUUUGUAGCUUCUACCUCCCUCCUCUGUGGACAUAGCGAGGGGCUGCGAUCCAACAGCCUCCCCAGGGCCAACAUCACAACCUCAAGCCUUUGAAGCAGGAGUAGUUUCUCGAGAGCCUCAAGGCUGUAACAUGGGCCACGGACGUCAGGGAGGCACAUAGGCUUCCACAAGGCGUGGAUGAUGAGCAUGGAUUAGUCUCUUACUGCUGCCGUAACAAACUACCACAACCAGAGUGCUUCGAACAACAUGAAUUUAUUAUCUUAUAUGGGCAUCCAACCUAUACUGCAGGUUUGGUUCUAGACCAACGCUUCAUUAGGCAAAUAUCACAAUCAAGCAAACCAAAUGCAUUUUUUGGUUCUCCACUGCAUAUAAAGGUCAUGUUUACACCACA